CCUACGGGAGGCUGCAGUGGGGAAUAUUGGACAAUGGGGGGAACCCUGAUCCAGCCAUGCCGCGUGUGUGAAGAAGGCCCUCGGGUUGUAAAGCACUUUCAGUGAGGAAGAACGCCUGGUGGUUAAUACCCAUCAGGAAAGACAUCACUCACAGAAGAAGCACCGGCUAACUCCGUGCCAGCAGCCGCGGUAAUACGGAGGGUGCGAGCGUUAAUCGGAAUUACUGGGCGUAAAGCGCGCGUAGGUGGCUUGAUAAGCCGGUUGUGAAAGCCCCGGGCUCAACCUGGGAACGGCAUCCGGAACUGUCAAGCUAGAGUGCAGGAGAGGAAGGUAGAAUUCACGGUGUAGCGGUGAAAUGCGUAGAGAUCGGGAGGAAUACCAGUGGCGAAGGCGGCCUUCUGGACUGACACUGACGCUGAGGUGCGAAAGCGUGGGUAGCAAACAGGAUUAGAUACCCUGGUAGUC
rnacentral:rRNA from 1 species